UAGAGGUACAAUAUCUAUAUCUAUAGAGUAGCUGCUACUAAGCCGCUUACGAUAAUUAAACUUUUGAAUCGACGAUCGACUUUAUUAAACUUGAUCUAACAUAUUUAAAAUAUUUAAAAAAUAAAUUUUGUAAUUUUUUAAUAUUAUUUACCUAAUGAUCGAAACAGUUAAAAAUCAACAGCUGAAAAUAAUAAUCUCAAAAAAAGUGGUGAUAUAGUAUUAAAAUUUUCGAUCAGAGAUAUUGAUCUUACUGUAGAUAGUAUAAAGAAUUUUUUAUCAAAAUUUCAUCUGAUUUGAAUACUUCUACAUCAUUAAAUUUGAAAGCAGCAGGUAUCAAUUAUUAAAAAAUAUUAAUUUUGAACUUUUUGAUCAUUAGAUAAAUGAUAUCAAAAAUUGUAAAAUUUAUUCUUUAGAUAUUUCUAAUACGUUAGAUCAAGUUUAACGGAGUCGAUUGUCGAUUUGAAAGUUUAAUCAUCGAAAACGGUUUAAGAGGCCUCCGUGCUCCGAAGAACACAAUAUCUAUGUACCUAUAUAUUAUUUUUUCUAAAUUUACCGCAUCUCAAACCGGCAAUCCUCCACAUAUUUUUCUCUUCUCUUCUUUAGUUUGUAUUAAAUCGGGUCACAUUGCUGCACUGGGUUGAAUUGUUUCUUUUCCUCUUCUUUUGGCUGUUACCUUCUUUUAUCGGCAAGAUGAAUCUCAUCUCUUAUCUGCGCUCCUUCCGUCGCUGUUUUCUCUUCCUUUGUGGCCCUUUUUUUUUUUUUUCUCUAAUUAUCUACCUAUCGCAUCGUAUUGUUUCACUAGUAUGCAUGGAGAGCCCUCACCUAUAGAGAAUUUUAAUUUUUUAAUAAUU
rnacentral:lncRNA from 1 species